rnacentral:rRNA from 1 species
GACGGAGGAUGCGAGCGUUAUCCGGAAUGAUUGGGCGUAAAGCGUCCGCAGGUGGCAGUUCAAGUCUGCUGUCAAAGACCGGGGCUUAACUUCGGAAAGGCAGUGGAAACUGAACAGCUAGAGUAUGGUAGGGGAGAUCGGAAUUCCUGGUGUAGCGGUGAAAUGCGCAGAUAUCAGGAGGAACACCGGUGGCGAAGGCGGAUCUCUGGGCCUUACCUGACGCUCAGGCACGAAAGCUAGGGGAGCGAACAGG